GUGAAUCAUCAAAUCUUUGAACGCAAAUUGCACUCUCCUCGGAGAGUAUGCCUGUUUGAGGGUCAGUCUAUAAAAAAUCGACAUCGUUGCUGUUUCACGGUGAAGUUCGUCGGAAAUUGGGUCAUCUUAAAUCAUUUUGGUUUUAAGCGACUUCAAAUUUUCUUUUUGUUUCCAUGAACGCUUCUAAGUUUUAUUUCUUUACAUGUUUAAGGGUAUCGAUUUUUAUUAGACGUGACCAUUAUAUCGGAUCGCGUCGAUCAUC
rnacentral:misc_RNA from 1 species